rnacentral:rRNA from 1 species
AGUGAACGCUGGCGGUAGGCCUAACACAUGCAAGUCGAACGGCAGCACAGUAAGAGCUUGCUCUUACGGGUGGCGAGUGGCGGACGGGUGAGGAAUACAUCGGAAUCUACUUUUUCGUGGGGGAUAACGUAGGGAAACUUACGCUAAUACCGCAUACGACCUACGGGUGAAAGCAGGGGAUCUUCGGACCUUGCGCGAUUGAAUGGGCCGAUGUCGGAUUAGCUAGUUGGCGGGGUAAAGGCCCACCGAGGCGAUGAUCCGUAGCUGGUCUGAGAGGGUGACCGGACAUAUUGGGACGGCGAUACGGCCCAGAGUGCGACGGGUGGCAGCAGUGGGGAAUAUUGCAAAAUGGGAGGAAGCAUGACGCAGCAAGGCAGCGUGCGGGAUGAUGGCCUUUGGGUUGCAAACCAAUUUCGACUGUGAAGAAGCGUGAGUGACGCUAAUGGGUAAAGAAGCACCGGCUAACUACGUG